GCUGGGUGUGGUGGUGCAUGCCUGUAGUCCCAGCUACUCAGGAGGCUGAUGCAGGAGAAUUACUUGAGCCCAGGAGUUCAAGGCUGCAGUGAGCCAUGAUCACACCACUGCACUCCAGCCUGGGUAACAGAGCAUGACCCUGUCUCGA
rnacentral:sRNA from 1 species